AGUGAACGCUGGCGGUAGGCCUAACACAUGCAAGUCGAACGGCGGCACAGUAAGAGCUUGCUCUUACGGGUGGCGAGUGGCGGACGGGUGAGGAAUACAUCGGAAUCUACUUUUUCGUGGGGGACAACGUAGGGAAACUUACGCUAAUACCGCAUACGACCUACGGGUGAAAGCAGGGGAUCUUCGGACCUUGCGCGAUUGAAUGAGCCGAUGUCGGAUUAGCUAGUUGGCGGGGUAAAGGCCCACCAAGGCGACGAUCCGUAGCUGGUCUGAGAGGAUGAUCAGCCACACUGGAACUGAGACACGGUCCAGACUCCUACGGGAGGCAGCAGUGGGGAAUAUUGGACAAUGGGCGCAAGCCUGAUCCAGCCAUACCGCGUGGGUGAAGAAGGCCUUCGGGUUGUAAAGCCCUUUUGUUGGGAAAGAAAAGCAGCAGGUUAAUACCCCGCUGUUCUGACGGUACCCAAAGAAUAAGCACCGGCUAACUUCGUG
rnacentral:rRNA from 1 species